rnacentral:rRNA from 1 species
CCUACGGGUGGCAGCAGUGGGGAAUAUUGGGCAAUGGGCGAAAGCCUGACCCAGCAACGCCGCGUGAAGGAAGAAGGCUUUCGGGUUGUAAACUUCUUUUCUGAGGGACGAAGAAAGUGACGGUACCUCAGGUAUAAGCCACGGCUAACUACGUGCCAGCAGCCGCGGUAAUACGUAGGUGGCAAGCGUUAUCCGGAUUUAUUGGGUGUAAAGGGCGUGUAGGCGGGAAAGCAAGUCAGAUGUGAAAACUAAGGGCUCAACCCUGAGCCUGCAUUUGAAACUGUUUUUCUUGAGUGCUGGAGAGGCAGUCGGAAUUCGGGGUGUAGCGGUGAAAUGCGUAGAUAUAAGGAGGAACACCGGUGGCGAAGGCAGAUUACUAAACAGUAACUGACGCUGAGGCGCGAAAGCGUGGGGAGCAAACAGGAUUAGAUACCCGAGUAGUC